CGGGGUAUAGCGUAGUUGGCAGCGCGCCAGUAUGGGGUACUGGAGGUCGCCAGUUCGAGUCUGGCUACCCCGACCA
rnacentral:tRNA from 2 species